AAUGCCAUUGCCGCCGUCAAG
rnacentral:misc_RNA from 1 species